UGCAGUCGAGCGCGCCCUUCGGGGUGAGCGGCGGACGGGUUAGUAACGCGUGGGAAUAUACCCUUUUCUGCGGAAUAGCCUCUGGAAACGGAGAGUAAUACCGUAUGAGCCCUUCGGGGGAAAGAUUUAUCGGGGAAGGAUUAGCCCGCGUUAGAUUAGGUAGUUGGUGGGGUAAUGGCCUACCAAGCCUACGAUCUAUAGCUGGUUUUAGAGGAUGAUCAGCAACACUGGGACUGAGACACGGCCCAGACUCCUACGGGAGGCAGCAGUGGGGAAUCUUGGACAAUGGGGGCAACCCUGAUCCAGCCAUGCCGCGUGAGUGAUGAAGGCCUUAGGGUCGUAAAGCUCUUUCGCCUGUGAAGAUAAUGACGGUAGCAGGUAAAGAAACCCCGGCUAACUCCGUGCCAGCAGCCGCGGUAAUACGGAGGGGGUUAGCGUUGUUCGGAAUUACUGGGCGUAAAGCGCACGUAGGCGGACUGGAAAGUUGGGGGUGAAAUCCCAGGGCUCAACCCUGGAACUGCCUCCAAAACUAUCAGUCUAGAGUUCGAGAGAGGUGAGUGGAAUUCCGAGUGUAGAGGUGAAAUUCGUAGAUAUUCGGAGGAACACCAGUGGCGAAGGCGGCUCACUGGCUCGAUACUGACGCUGAGGUGCGAAAGUGUGGGGAGCAAACAGGAUUAGAUACCCUGGUAGUCCACACCGUAAACGAUGAAUGCCAGUCGUCGGGUAGCAUGCUAUUCGGUGACACACCUAACGGAUUAAGCAUUCCGCCUGGGGAGUACGGUCGCAAGAUUAAAACUCAAAGGAAUUGACGGGGGC
rnacentral:rRNA from 1 species